UACUACACUGCAGAGUAUUUGUAUGAACUGGGCUUCAGGAGAGUUGCAGAUUGUGGUCAAGUCAGGACCCCUGUUUUCAAAAUAUGUACAUACAGAAAGAAAAAGACAUGGCAACAACACUCAAAAAUACCACCCUUCUUGCAAAAAGUCUUUUGAUGUGACAGCUUCAAGUCUUCCCCAAUAAAAUCCAGGGGAAAAAACCCAAUUUGGCAUUUCAUGUAAUUAAAAUCUGGAGGGAAUGUUUAAAAAAGACCAAACAAUAUUGCCAGUACACAAAUAUAAUUAAUCCUUUCCCUUAAUAACGAGUAACCAAAACAAACUGUGCAUGGAAGUGUGAAGCAAACUAUUACAUGAAUGAGCAAAGGAAUGAAACCUUCCUUUCUGUUCUGGCAGAUUUUCUGGCUAACCUACAUGCAUUAAGCCUUUGGGGUAGUUUACUGGGGGAAACGUCUGCAGUUACUUAAAGGCUAGCAAGAAUGAUUGACUUUUAUGACGAUUUCUCAUCAAUGUCCUUUUCCCAGCUACCAUAAAUCACUACAACACGACUGAAGUCAAGCUUCCUGCAUAGAGGCAGUCAUUGUGCAGCAGUCAUUACCCAUGGCAUACACAUUUUUUUAAAAAAAAUCCUCCCAUUAUUUCUCUUGAAACAGACAGAAGCCUGCUGUCAACCUUUCCUUUUUUGGUUCUAUACCAUCAGUAGGGACUUGAACCUGUGCUGUGGUCCAAAAUAACAUCCAACCACCCUCAAUUCCAAACCCAGAGCUGCACUUGUACAUUCCUCGGAACAAUUGUUUCUCAAAAGUGUUACUUGUGCAAAAUCAUAAAAAAAAAACUAUCUCCUAAGCAGAGCUCUGAAACAGCUACAUGAUCCUGACAUAGAAUUCUAUGUCCGAAAAAGAGUUAACAAGCUAACGCUAAUCACCUCGUCAGAAAAGCCAGAUAAGGCACUGUGAAUGCAACUCCCUUCACCAUCACAAAAGAACAAUAAGUGGGCAAUAGGAACACUGGAGGUGCAUUCAUUAAAACUACUGAUUGGUUUACUAGUCCUUCCAACCUGACAAACACUAUCCUUGCACGUCCAUUCAGUCUAUUUACAUACAGGUUGUUCCUGCCAUUCAUGCCAUUGUGUUCUACUCAACCACAGCAAACAAAGACCAUGGAUCCUUUUGAGAUACACUGCAAUUUCCCUCCUCAGGAAGUAGGAGCGGCAAGUAUUUUGCCUCAGGGCCCAUUUUGGGCUAUAACUGGUCCUGGUUUCUUGAACCAGUAUGCUUCAUUUGGUCUCCACUGUGGAAUCACCCACUGUAUGGGCGAUAGACGACAUCAUUCAUCAAUAACAGCAGGCUAUGUCUUGCUCUUUGCACCACUCAUGCUCCUAGCCUCCAGAUCGGGCUUCUUUGCUGGCCUGAUCUACCCAGCUCACCUUGCUGCUACAAGUAGCUGGCUGCAUGAAAACAGAAUGCUUUCGGAAUUAUCCUUGCUGCCUAACCCCCGAGCUGCUUUUGGUUUUCCACUGCUGCCUGGUUCCAUCUCUGAGGAAAGAGGUCCUUUGGCUGUGCCUGAGCCACGAGGGUCCAAUCACCACUAACAGAAGGACGAGGUUGUAUGAUAACCACUGUGCCCCUCUGGGCUCUUCCUAUCCCUGCUCUUUCUUAAAUCCAAAAACCUGAUUCUCUAAAGCCUUCUUUUCUCUAGCCAGCCUGGAAGUCAUUUAAUUCGGACACCAAGCUAAAUUGCCUCUUUGCUAGUAUCUGAUUAACCUUUGCAAUGUAUUUGUAGUAAUAAUAUUGCUUUAAUCAAUUCUCUUAUUCUGCUGUACCCCUAAACCCUCAAAUAAAACCUUAAUUUGUUUUGAACUUCAACCUUUCUGUCAGUUCAUUUCCCUGGAACCAGAACUUUGCACAAAAAUUAUUCUGGCGUGGGCCUGUUCCACCCCCAGACCACUAAUUCCCCACACAAAGCAC